UAAAACAUUAUAAUUACUUUCGAUAAAAUCGCUUAAUUCUCUUCUAAAAGCAGAAUCCAGCCUGUUGAGAAUCCAGGAAGCCUGUUCAUGGGUCUUCUUGCAGCGUCUUACCGCGAGCAUUCUGAGACUUUCACCACCAGAUGGCAGCAUCGGCCCACGGAUGCUACAACCGGCCACGGCGGGACAAACAGGUUGAGGAUAAGAGGCUGAUUCCAAGAGCAUCUCCCGAUGAGCGCCAGCCCUUUGCACCCUCCAGAAGUACACACGCUUCUCCCUUCAUCACUGAGAGGCCCUGUUACCUAUAUAUAGGAUCCAGUCUAAUGAAAGAAGCUUGUCAAGUGCUGUGUAGAAAAUUUCCCACAAAAGACAAGCCCUGGUUAAACAGAAUGGAGUGAAAUUCUAGGCAACAUGAAGUCUCACAGAUUCUGCCCAAGAAGCCAGAUUGCCAUCAUCACAACAGCAUUUCAAAUGCCUCGCACCACCUACAUUUUUUAAAAAUUACAUGAAAAUAGCUUAUUUGUUCUUAAAAGGAUUAAUCAAUAAAAUGAAUUGUGCGUUCUUAGUUUCAAA